rnacentral:rRNA from 1 species
UACGUAGGGGGCAAGCGUUGUCCGGAUUUAUUGGGCGUAAAGAGCUCGUAGGUGGUUUGGUAAGUCGGAUGUGAAAUCUCCAGGCUCAACCUGGAGGGGUCAUUCGAUACUGCCAUGACUAGAGUUCGGUAGGGGAGUGUGGAAUUCCUGGUGUAGCGGUGGAAUGCGCAGAUAUCAGGAGGAACACCGGUGGCGAAGGCGGGAUCCUGGGCCAGUACUGACGCUGAGGAGCGAAAGCGUGGGGAGCAAACAGG